GGGGGCUAUAUUGGAAUUGUGGGGGCAAGUCCUGAUGCCGCCAUGCCGCGUGAGUGAAGAAGGCCUUCUGGUUGUAAAGCACUGUUGGGCGGGACGAAAGGGACUGGGAUAAUACCCUGGUGUGUAUGACGGUACUGUACGAAUAAGCACCGGCUUACUUCCGGCCAACAGCCGGGGUAAUACCAAGGGGGCAAGCGUUACUCCGAAUUACUGGGCGUAAAGCGUGCGUAAGCGGGUAUUUAAAUCUGAUGUGAAAUCCCCGGGCUUAACCUGGGAAUGGCAUUUGAAACUGGAUGGCUUGAGUGAGGUAAAGGGAGAUGGAAUUCCCUGGUGUAGCGGUGAAAUGCGUAGAUAUCGGGAGGAACAUCUGUGGCGAAGGCGGCCACCUGGACCAUCACUGACGCUGAGGCACGAAAGCGCGGGGAGCAAACAGGAUUAAAUACCCUGGUAGUCCACGCCCUAAACGANGCGAACUNGAUGUUGGGCACACUUAAGUGGUCAGGGGCCAAGCUAACGCGUUAAGUUGGCCGCCUGGGGAGUCGGUCCCCAAGACUGAAACUAAA
rnacentral:rRNA from 1 species